GGUGAGUAACGCGUGAGAAUCUGCCUUCAGGUUGGGGACAACAGUUGGAAACGACUGCUAAUACCCAAUGUGCCGAGAGGUGAAAGCUUUAGUGCCUGAAGAUGAGCUCGCGUCUGAUUAGCUAGUUGGUGGGGUAAUGGCCUACCAAGGCGACGAUCAGUAGCUGGUCUGAGAGGAUGAUCAGCCACACUGGGACUGAGACACGGCCCAGACUCCUACGGGAGGCAGCAGUGGGGAAUUUUCCGCAAUGGGCGCAAGCCUGACGGAGCAAGACCGCGUGAGGGAGGAAGGCUCUUGGGUUGUAAACCUCUUUUAUCAGGGAAGAAGAUCUGACGGUACCUGAUGAAUCAGCAUCGGCUAACUCCGUGCCAGCAGCCGCGGUAAUACGGAGGAUGCAAGCGUUAUCCGGAUUUAUUGGGCGUAAAGCGUCCGCAGGUGGU
rnacentral:rRNA from 1 species